GAAAACACGUUUUUGCAAUUUUGCGGAAAAAUGCAUUUUUGGGGUUUUGGUGUGAAAAAAAAUACUUUUUAGGUUUUCGCGGACAAACGUAUUUUUGUAUGUGACAAAAAUGAUAUUAUGUUUAGGUUUGUAAUUUGUGAAUUACAUUAGAGAUAUAAUAGACAUUAUACUAUUUUGAAUGAACAAUCCCCAUUCAAAUGAUCCAAAUUGGUUUAGCUGAAUGGACUUUAAAAUUAAGCUUAAAUUUUCAAAAGUCAUCCGGAUGUUCCAUCUGAAUGAAUUGCACUUUUAGUGACUAAACAAACAAAACUCUCAUUUUCAUCUAGAUGACUCAUCCAGAUAGAAAAACAAAUUCAAACGGUACUUCUGAUUUCUUUUUAUUUUAUUUAUUCCUUUAACGUUCACUGAUUUUGUACUCUUUUGUACCUGCUCACAGUCAACGGUUAUCCAAGCGUCUACCAACAUUAACUGCUCAAUACCUUCAAACAAAUUCUGAAGGAAGAAUCUCUUUAUGAGAUGAGAGUUUUUGAUGUCACCAGAAACAACCAAAACUUCAGAUUUGUUGACAGCCCUGUUGCUAUUCGAUUCACGCAGAUACCAAAACUUGACAAGAUAGCAGAAACCAUGAACCCUCUCCACGUGGAGUUUUUCAGGUUUAGUGAUUACGAACAACUCAUAUUAUUGACUAAUACGAACACAGAUUUACCAGGUGUGUUUCGCUUUCGAUUCUUCUCAGCCAUUCCUGAGAAAUAAUUUUCAUCCCACAUGAAACUAUCAUUACUACAACUUUUUGGUUUCAGAUAUUGUUGGUGAAGUGAGGGAUAUUAAAACCACUUACAAUGAAGAGACCCAGAGCACUCAACGUAUUAUGCCUAAUAUAAGAAGUCACAGGGACACCACAGACCACAGUUUGUCUUAGUGUUUUUGACGGACUUGCCAUGCUUCUCUAUAAUAAAUUAGUAACGUCUAGUGUUGAGCCUGAGGUUAUUUAGUGAUGAACAUCAACCUUAAAUUAGUAGGAGGUGGACUUAUAUCCUCACACUCAUGUUCUGGUUUUCUUUUUUUUUUGUUUUUUGUUGGGCACUUUGCAACUUCUAAUUAGUUAGUUUUGUAAAGCUUGAAUGUACGCAAUAAAUUCAAAUAGAGCAAGUUUUAUGGGCUCCUCGUCACGUCGUCUGUACUUUGAGCAUCUCUCUUAGUGGAAUCUCUUUCACAUAUUAAGCCAUGCCAUUUGUUUCUUUUCCACGCCAUAUGUUUCUGAAUGAGUACAGCCAGUCAGAGUUACGUCAAAGGGUUAGGAGUUAGCGCCUCUGACACAUUCCUUAACCUAGGAUCUGUAACAUUGAGUAAGGUUGUUCCUCUACUUUUUACAAAAAUAUGGAGAUGUCAAAUAAGAUUUAAUCUAUAACAGUAUCAGAGCUUAAUGACUAUGUGCUAAAUUCACCGCCUCAGGUUAACACACUAACGUUAACUUAUGAUCCUUUAUGAUCUGUCUCUAAUGGGCCUGACUCAGCAGUGUUUGGUGCUUUUGACCCUGAGAUGACAAAAUUGACCAAUAUUUAUGCUGCAAAAUUGUCACUGGUCAUUGUAUCAGUCACCAAGUAACCCAUUAUCUCUCUGUAUAUCUUCUCAUGAUUUUUGACGUUGUUUACUUUGAUACAACACGUAGGCAUUGAUAACCCACAUGUCAGGGUCCUCCCACAAGGCCUCCAGAUAUUGUAGGCAGGACGUUCACUUUCCGCUUUAGAAAUUCAAUUUCUCUUUCAAACAUCAGUCUUUCCCUGUCUCACGCAUUUUCAGUUGUCACCAGCGCCUGGCAAUAGCUAAUUUUGCGCUCCAGUGUUCUCUGACCAGUAGAAGGUUCAAUAGUCAUGGUAUGGUUGAAGAAAACAGAGGCGAGGCAGGUCUACUACGUGCUCGACCUAUUAUUGAUCCUGAAAUGACUACGGAUGAGCCAACAGUUAUAGAGGAUGGACACUCUGUAAAGAAGACACGCAUUGAGGAAAGUCUCAAAGGAGUCUAUGACCCUCAUGUCGACUACAGCUACGCUGGAGUGUUUCUCAAAUUUAGCAUAAUAAUGAAAUAGGACUACAACUCAUUCCCACCCGUUAUGUUAGGGUCUUUGUUUUUGUGUCAAAAUUUCGUAUGUCUCAAGCAAGCUCACUUUUUACAAAUAUAUAAAUAACAACUUCUCCUAACUCAGCACAUAUACCAUUUGACAACAAAUAUAUAGAACAUUGUUUUUAUGUCAAAAUUUCGUAUGCCUCUUCACAUAUACCAUUUGACAACAAAUAUAUAGAACAUUGUCUUAAUACAUAUAUUCUUAUAUUUUUUCUAGCAGUAGUUAACAAAACACUUGGUGGAGUAAGAGAACAUAUUACAGACCAAUCUUAAAGGUUUAAACUAAGAAGAGCUAAGAAUCGCCCAACACAACCCGUCUCCAAACACUUAUUGACUUCUUCGUCUGUAUCAUUCAAACUUACUACGUCUUUUUGGUCAAAAAAAAAUAACUAUCAUUCUUAAUUAUAAGUAAUAUAUUAUCUGUAUGGUUUGUGUCUGGAAAAGGGUAAUUUUGUAUAAAUAAACCAAAUUACAUUUCAUGAAAAAACACAAUCCAAAUACAUGUUAUUAGACUAUAGCUCAAAUUCAUUGGUGAAACCUGCACAUUUCCCAUCACAUAAUCUCUGUUCUCUAGAAUUAGGGAUACUUUCCAAUGAGUACAAAUUACUAAAUAAAUAAAUAAAAUAAACUAUAGCACAAUUACCAUUUCUAAUAGUUAAUUUACAAUAUAAAAAUUAAUAUACAACACCAAAAAUUUAUAAUAAAAAUUGACAUCCCGUGCAAAGCGCGGACAAACCACUAGUAUAUAAUAAAACAGAGAGCCUAAACUAUGGAUUUUCUCUUUUUACACAGUGUAUGUUUUUUAUUUUUAACUCUUUAAAUUUGUUUUUUGGCCUAAGUUCUUUAACUUUUUAAAUUCAUAAUAACAUCUUACGAUGUUACAUCUUUCUUAAAAUAAUUUAUAAGAACUGUAUGUUUUGUGUAGUAUUGCUUUAAUAUAUGAUGCUUGAUCUUACAUCUAAAUAUCGUAUUGAUGUAUCUACUCAUUGAUAACAUAUUUGUAAACUAUGAAAUUUUAAUCCUAUGUAUGCUCUCUUUGGGGAAUAUUCAGGUCUUGGUUAUGCGUAACAUAGAUUUCUACAAUAGAACUUAAGGUUUUAACCACGCGUUAGUGGUCCGAUGGCACAAGGCGGUCCAUGGAUCUCUAAGAGACCCGAGUUCGGAUCCGCUGUUGAAUCAGAUAAAUAUAGUGCAUGGUUACUGAAGCUUUCACAUUCUCUCUCCGGGGAAAGGGGUCAUCCAACUUAAGGCUUUUAGUGUUUUAUGGGCAUUGUUAUAGGUCGAAAAAAUAAUUUUUAAGAAAAUAAGAAAAACAAGUGAGAAUAUAAAGAUACAAUAAUCUUAUUUGGUUCCGUACACCAUUUGGUUUUAAGUAUAUAAGUUUGUUGUAGAUGGUUGCCUAAAAAAGCUAUAGAUGCUAACUUUCAUGACAAGAAGAUUGUUUGAUGGUGGACAACAACAGUCAUCAAACCAUCAUCGUAACCAGAAUUAUUUCAAAUAUAUAUUCUAAGAUUACAUAUAGAUUCUAAGACACCAUACGUAAGAACUUGAUUGUAAAUUCAGUGACUGGAAAAGAAAACCAGUUUUAGUCAGUUGUGUAAUUGUGUUUAACAAUUUAUUCUUAUGAGAACACAAACAUGUAAAGAUAAAAGAGUAUUAGGAUCAUAACUAUAGCUUAGUUAACUCUUUAUUAAAAUCACAGUCUUGCUCAACAUCACAUAUAUAUAUGAUUGGAUAUUAAAAAGAGAGAAAAUUUUGAGUUUAAAUUAUUGCAAAUUUGAUAUGUAAUUUAUAUUAUAUGUAACAUAGUCAUACCCCCAGUAAACCCUCUCGUAUAUAAUAAACUAGGAUCAGCCCGUCCUAUGGGCGAGAUAUAUUUUACUUGUGAUCUAGAUUAUUAUUUUUUGUAUAAUUUUAUGGUUUGUGUUUUAAGAUUUCAUUUGCAAGAAAUGUGUGAUAAUGAUUUUUUGUCUUUUAGAAAGUUUUAGGUCAGGAGAGAUUAUAUAUUUUUCUUGUUUACAAUACUUGUUUAUGUUGUCCAAAAAAAAAAAUAGUUGUCUCUAUGUUAUAAAGUUGUGGUAUUGAUAUACGUGAGCGCUUUAAAUGGUUUUCAUGUUGUUUCAUUUUACAAAAAUUUGAGUCUAUAUUAAAAUGUACUAAUGGAGGUUAUGUUGUUUUCUAUAAUUUUAAAUUAAGUUUUGGUUUCAUAUGAAUUUAAAUAUACCUUAAAUAUACAAUGAACCGGUUACACAAAUAUAUUACGGUAGGUAAUUAAAAAUUUUGUUUUGUUUUAUUUAUUAUGAACGAACUAAAAUUAUUUGUACUAAUAUUAUUUAAUUUCCAUAACUGAAUAACUAUAUUCAAGAAAGCAAGCUACACGAAUAGAAGAAAACGUUAGAUAUGAUCAAAAUAGUCUUUUGUCUUGUUCAUUAAAAUUUUUAUGUAAGAAAUAAUUUAAUUUACAACUGUUUUUUUGUUAAUGAGCUUUAGAAUAACUGAAUUAUUGUCUCCAGUCUUAAAAACAAAGACAUAUAAAUAGGUUUUUUGGUUUGGUGAUUAAAUAGAUUUAUCAAUCUAAUUAUAUUUACAGUUUUGCAAUCGAUAAUAUAUAUAAUUUUUUUUGUUUUAGUUUGAUCAAAAUGAAACGUGUAAUGGAAAAAAGAUUCUGAACAAAAUGGUUGUGUUUUAGCAUAAAACUAUUUUUUUAUUAAUCGUCUUUAUUUUUAUCUAUAUAUCAAACGAAUGAUGGAGAAGAGUUUUCAGCACUAUCUCUUUAAUUUCAUAGCUUUCUUUUCCUUCUUCCUAAUCUUUCUCUCUUUUCUUUUUAGAUCUACUUUCUUGUGCAAAAGAACCACCGUGAAACUCAUGGUUCCACCGCAACUCCGCACAUCUUUCACCCCCACUGCCGGGCCUCUGUCCCAACUCCUUGCACCGCCACUGCCGCAACUCCUUCACCGCUGCUACCGCAACUUCUUCGUCGCUGCUGCCACAACUCCUACCUCUUUCUUUGUAUCCAGCCACCGCAACUGCUUGCACGACCACCACUACAACUCUGUUUACCACUACUUCCAUUCUGCUCACUUCUCAUCCGCUAUCACCACCGUUGCAUCAUACACCACCAAUUUUAUCAAAUUUAUUGCCAAUAGGAGAUCCGUUCUUUCCUUUUGAGUUUUUUUGUUAUUGAAUUUUUACAUUUAUUAUGCAAUGAAAUAUAUGAAGAUUUUUAAUAUUUGUUAUAAUUUAGUUAAAAUAAUUGUUUUUUGUAUAAAUAUUUUCAGUUGCCGGAAAUUAAUCGGAGGUGGAUUACUCAAAAAGUCAUCGGUACAUUCAGAUGAUUUUCCGAUGGAAAUUUUUGAUAAUAUAUGUUAUCGUAACUUACCGAGAAUUUUCCAACAAAUGGUGAUUUUCUAGACCCAAACUUCGAUGAAAUUAGGAUUGUCAAAAAAUGAUAGGAAAAACUCGUUUCCGAUAAACUUAUGUUUAAUAUGGUUGUCGCUUAUCACUUCUUUUUCUUGUAGUGAAUGAGCUUUAUUAAGCAAAACAUAAAAUCCAAUUCUAAUCGAAGCCCAUAAAUAUUGCUUACCAAAUUAAAUGAAACGAUGUGUUCUAAGGAUCGGGACACAUGACGAUUUUAAGAUACACGAAUUAGUGAACUGGAAUCUUAGGUGGACACCCUAAAAGAGAAGCAAUCUGAGUUUUAUAUAUAUAGAAGUAAAUAAGAAGGAAAGAAGAAAUAAGAAAUAAGAAGCGUGUAGGAAUGGUUAAUGUAAAAAUUAUAUAGCGUCAAGUCAAAAAGAUAUAAAUAUGUUUGUCUCCCUAUGUAUAAUGCCCACUCUACUCGUUGCUUAGCCACAUGAACUAUUUACAUUCACUAUAUGAUUGUCACUCUUAUUGUCUUAUUUUACCUUCCUUUUCUCUGCAUCUUAGUCAUAAGGCACGGUUACGAUGUGACAGAACGUUGAAAUUCGAUUAUUGUUUUAGAUGCAGUUCAAUUUUUCAUUACAACAAAAAUCUAUCGUCUGAGGGAUGGAGUAACUUUUUUUUUUGUUGAAAUGUUAAGAUGGAGUAACUUUUUUUUUUUCUCAAGUGCAACAUUCUAAUUUUUAUGGUUAUAAUAGAGUCGGAGAAGGGAGCUACGUUACCUAGUUCCGUUUUUUUCUUACCGUAAGGAUGAGGCUCGAUCGGUUCUGCAGCUUAUAAUUAUUCUGGGCUACGCAACACUUUUAACUAUAGACAUAAUAAUACAAUAUGAAAGAAAAA